GGGGACUCAGGCGGCUGCAUCAGAUGAGAGUGAGCACUUGAGUUCUCUAGAAAGCCUUUCUAGCUUCCCCGGGUGACAUCCAAUCGAUGUCCAUUCAAACCCUCCUAUGUAAGGUUAUUGGUGCUAAGGAGGAAGGCUAACUCCCUCAGAGCCAGAUCUUGGACAACAGAAGAAUGCUGGCAUAGCCAGUCUCCGAAGAAGAUGAGCUACAACAGCUAAAGGUUGGUGGCUUGCCUCUAACUUAGCAAAAGCUGUCUGCGUUGACUUUCUUUGCCAGGAAUUCCAAUAGUGCCUUUUUUCUAAGUGAGUUUUUCAGGCAGGCAAGAAGGAAAGAUUUUAAAUCAACAGCCCAAGCUUCAUGGGGUCCUAGAGUUUAGCUGCCAUCAAUUCAUCAGCGUCCAGCGGUGCUUAUCUGAUGCACUGGUGCUCACUAAGCGUUUGGGAGAAGAAGAAGAAAGCAUUGAAGGAUAGAUGUGAGUAGGAAAAAUGUCAGCGAUGUUUAGAGAAACAUGUUGCUGGCCAUCUUGUUUUCCAAACCGGAGAGAUGCAUUAUCACUAACUCCCAGAAUAGUUUAAUCUAAUAUCACUUUGCAAAAUGAUAAUGGAUAAAAAGAAUAGAGGAAUGACAAGCAAAACAUAGUCUGUAAUGUGCAUGUGUAAACAGUAGUGAUCAUAUUUCAAUAUACAAUCAGAACUUCUUCCUGACUUUAGCAACCGUUUGUUCUGUGUCUCUGCCAUUCUUCCAAAGGAAAUUAGCUAAGCAAGAUUUGUUUCGGGUCAGCAAGUGGGUGUUUUGGGGAUAAAUGGGAGCUGACGGUGGAGGCGACAGAGUUGACUCCAACUAGUCCAUUUGGCAUCUGGAAAAGGUCAGCUCAUCAGAAAUGGUGUGUGGAGAAAAUUCACUAGGCUUCCUGCUGCUGAGAGAGCAAAUGCUCUGUCUAUUUAAUCGUGUAUCAAGGAAAAAUAACUCAGUUCAGGAGGGAAAAAGAUAAAGGAAAUAUAUAUAUAUAUAUAUAUAUAUAUACAUAUAUAUAUAUAUAUAUAUAUCCUUUUAGUAUCAGUCUUUCAUAUAUUUCAGGUCAUACAGCUACACAAUUCAGGUCCAACAAGUCCACUGGAUGGAGAAGGGAAUGC
rnacentral:lncRNA from 1 species